AAAAGAGAGCCGUAUUUUUACGAGUCAAUUUUUUUUGGAGAAAGAAGUAAAAAGAAAGGAGAUAAUAUAUGUAUACAUAACAAAUACUGUGAUUCGUAAUAAUAAUAAAAAAAAGAAAAAGAAAAAUAAAGUGGGUUAGGACUUAGGAGUAUCGUUGUUGUAGCGGCAUGUUGCAGGGUUCUGCAGCGGCGGAGGGUUGCUGAGUUGAAGAAGAAGAAGAAAUCAGGCAUUGGUAUUGGUGAGAGAGUGAGAGAGAAGAUGCUGAAUGGAAGUAGGUAUGUCCUCCCUCGCAGCAUUCACAUACUCUUUUUUUCUCAACAUGUGAGGUUCUUUGGUCAUUUGCAUCCCCCUAAAUUUCACACUGUAGACGAUACCCUUCUUUCCUUCAAUCGCAUGCUCCGAAAGCACCCUCCCCCACCCAUUUUCGUAUUCGACAAGCUUCUGGGAGCCAUUGUAAGGAUGGGUCAUUACCCCACCGCCAUUUCCCUCUUCUCCCAACUUCACUCAAAGGGAAUCACCCCUUCCAUCGCCACUCUCACCAUCUUGAUCAAUUGCUACUGCCACCAGGCUCACCUCUCUUUCGCCUUCUCUCUUCUGGGAACCAUUCUCAAGAUGGGGUUUCAGCCCAACAUGGUCACUUUCAACACUCUCAUCAACGGUUUCUGCAUCAAUGGUAUGGUCUCUAAAGCUAUGGCCUUUCGCCUCGACCUUAUGGCAAAAGGGUAUCCUUUGGAUGAGUUCUCAUAUGGCUCUUUGAUCAAUGGCCUGUGUAAAAAUGGACAAACUAGAGAUGCCCUUCAAUUGCUGCAAAAGAUGGAAGAGGAUUUGGUUCGGCCUAAUCUCAUUACCUAUAGCACAGUCAUUGAUGGGCUGUGCAAAGAUAGACUUAUAGCCGAUGCCCUCCGUUUGUUUUCUCUGGUCACUUCAAGGGGGAUUUUGGUUGAUGUUGUCGCCUACAAUUCUCUCAUCCAUGGCUGUUGUAGUGUCGGUCAAUGGCGAGAAGCAACUCGAUUGCUAACUAUGAUGGUGCGGGGGAACAUCAACCCAGAUGAUUAUACCUUUAACAUAUUGGUUGAUGCGUUGUGUAAAGAAGGAAGGAUUGUGGAAGCUCAAGGCGUGUUCGCUGUGAUGAUGAAAAGAGGCGAGAAGCCUGACAUUGUUACUUACAAUGCCUUGAUGGAAGGGUUUUGUUUAAGCAAUAAUGUUAGUGAGGCAAGAGAACUAUUCAACAGGAUGGUCAAAAGAGGCUUGGAACCUGAUGUCUUGAAUUAUAAUGUCUUGAUUAAUGGUUAUUGCAAGAUUGACAUGGUAGAUGAAGCCAUGGUUCUCUUUAAAGAGAUACGUUGUAAAAAUUUAGUCCCUAAUCUUGCUACUUAUAAUUCUCUUAUUGAUGGCUUAUGCAAAUUGGGGAGAAUGUCAUGUGUGCAGGAGCUUGUUGAUGAAAUGUGUGAUAGGGGCCAAUCCCCUGAUAUAGUCACUUACAACAUUUUUUUAGAUGCUUUUUGCAAAAGCAAACCUUAUGAGAAGGCAAUCUCAUUAUUUCGACAAAUUGUCCAAGGAAUUUGGCCUGAUUUUUACAUGUAUGAUGUGAUUGUAGAAAAUUUCUGCAAAGGUGAAAAAUUAAAGAUUGCAGAAGAAGCUCUUCAACAUCUUUUGAUACAUGGCUGUUGUCCAAAUGUCCGAACGUAUACCAUUAUGAUCAAUGCCCUUUGUAAAGACUGCUCUUUUGAUGAAGCUAUGACCUUGCUUUCAAAAAUGGAUGACAAUGAUUGCCCCCCUGAUGCUGUCACUUUUGAAACAAUUAUUGGUGCUCUCCAAGAAAGAAAUGAGACUGAUAAGGCAGAGAAACUUCGUCUGGAAAUGAUUGAAAGAGGUCUUGUAAACGAUGAAGCAAGGGUUGUCAAAAGCGGUGCUAUAGCAGGGUAGUGGCCCCUGGCUGCUAUAUGCACUGCCAAAGCUUCCCAAAAUCCUGAGAAUGGCCUCCAAUAUUAGCAUUAGAGGGCCAUUUUAUGGAGGUAAUUUUGGGUAAAAUAGGGUUUCAGCUUGAGGAAAACCCUUUCAAAGUUCAUAACUAUCAUGUCUCACUCAUCUCCUCUCCUACCUUGUGAAUACUACACUAAUCCUGUCCGACCCUCCAACGACCAUUGUGUGACCCUUUGGUUGGUGCAUGAACAGUGAGGGAAUCUGUGACUCAUCCAAUUGCAUACAGCAAGAAGUGCAAGUCAAGAUUUGUAUGUGGUAGUCCAGACUGUGAAUGCUGUAGCAAUCAAUUUGUGCUAGAAGAAUGCAGAUUUUCAAUAUUUCUAUGCAAUACAGUUGGUUGGUGUUAACAGCGGUCUACACUGCUCUUUUCUUCCCUGCCAGUGCUGGCUUUUAGUCUGCUUGACCUUUCCUACCCUGCAUUUUUCCUUUCCUAUAAGCCAGCUUACUUUAUUGUGAGCUAAAUCCUGGUAAUUUUUGUAUUCUCUGGAGAACUCCCAUGACCAAGUAAAAACUAGAUUACUUUAUUUCUGGUCCUUGGAGAUUGUGAAGAAUCAGUGCAUAGCCUUGUGGAAUUUGCCAGAUACAUGUGAGAAGAAAUCGUUGUUUUAAUAUGCUUGUCACAAUGAUUGAUGGAGCAAUAUCGGAGGAAUAAAAAAGGACUACUUAUGGUAUUCAUUGAUUUGGAAAAGGUACAAUAGAGUGCCAAGAGAGGUAUUGCAAAAAGUGCUAAAUAAGGAAGAAGUUCCUACUACCUAUAUUUGAGAAAUCAAGAAUAUCUACGAUAGGGUGGCAACUAGUUUGAGAACAAGGGAAGGGGAGACGAUAGAUUUUCCAAAUUCCAUCAAGGGCCAUCUAUGAACCCCUAUAUAUAUAUAAAAAAAUUUUUUUACCUCGGUCUUAAUGUGCUUGUUAUGUAUAUCCAAGUGUUGGUGUCACGAUGCAUGCAGUAUAGAUAUAUAGGCAUGUGUCAAUAACAAUAGAAGAAGCUCCAAUUAAGAGAGUAGAUCAGAUGGAGGAUAGUCCUAUCACUAAUCCAUCGAUUGUUUUAAGUGUAAAUAGGUAGAAAGAAAAUAGAAAAAAUACGAUGGAAAUAUUAAUUUUUCUAUUUGUUUGAGAAGAGUAACAAGUGUUUUUUUUUUUGGUUG